GCUGUCUUGAAUAGUUCACGAGUCCUGGUGUGAAACUAAUGCCGCUAAUUUUGUGCUGCGGUGUUAAUGUGGGCUCGUCCAAUGUACCGGGCUGAAACACAAGAACUGGCACUGGCAGUCAGAGAGGAAAGCAGUCAAUAUGUGUGCACAGCUAUUUUAAUAUUACAUAUAUUAUUCAUGUUUUUAAAACCAAUUUUUUAUCUAUUUAACUCUGCUUCUGGCCACCAACGUUCUGUCUGGGUUUCCAUCUAACAACACACAGCGGUGUGUUCACUCACAAAUAAAGUUUGUCCACCUGGAGUACCUUUCAGUAGUUGAAUAGUUGCUCAUGUUCUGUCUACAUUGUAAUUACAUUUCCUUUACCACAUUGGAAAGUCAGUCAAUCAAUUAAUAAAGCUUAAUUUAGCUAAAGAUUUUAUGUUACUGAUAGCGUUUUCAGCAAAGGAUCGGUCUUUACUUUGGCUUGUGUCAUAGCCAGCAGUUGUGUGGUGCAGUGGGAGCUGGGCAGAUGGAAUGGCCCUGCUGAAAAGAUUGUGCUUUUCUGGGCCAGAGCAUCCGUAUGGGCAUGAGCCUCCAGUCACACUGAAUUUGAUGUAGCGCUGAACACCUCAAUUUUAUAACAGGAUCUUAGGGAUGGUCUAUGUGUUUUAAAUCCUAAGCCUUGUAUUAUGCUGGUGCUUCCCCUGGAUACGUUCCACUUCUGGUGCCGUCAGCAGUCUGGUUGUGAAAAGUGAAUAGUGCAGUCAUGAAAACACUGCACCACUCCUGCAGAAAACAUGGAUUUGGAAUUUGCUAUGGAAUGAUUCCAGAGAAAACUGCAAUGUUUUCUUUUCACAUUAUCUGGAAUCUAGGAAACAAAAAUGGUGAGACAUUCUCAAAAACCAUAUGAAAAAAAUACAGUGAUAUUUGAUAAAAUGCACCUUAUUAAACUUCUAAAAUGAUGAAUAGUAGAAAGUACCUUUUCAAAGGCUCUUUUCUGGCGGACAAUGGGCUCACAGGUGCUCUUUCUACAGUUGAUAUCAAAAAGCCAUGGACACAUUCUUAAAGAAGACUUCAGCUGUGUAUUUACAUUAUCAAAAGAUAAUACGCAGACUUGUGACCACACAGAAAAUGUACAGAUCCCAGUAACAGACGUUUGUCUCAGUAAGAAAGGUAUAAUACGAAAACAAAGGAAAACAAAGACCCCACAGCAAUGGCUGUUAGCACUCUAUUUCAAUUAAUAUCCAAAAGCAAAGCCAGCAGCAACUUGUCAUGCUAUGCAGUUGAUGGAUCUGCUCAGUGGGCCCAAAUCACAGUGAUUAUCUUGGAUUCACAGCUAAGAGGAAGAGUGUAGCAUGCUGCAACCCAUCAAGCUUAAAUUUUCAUUAAAUCAUCAGUUUCUAACUCUGGGAAUUAAAAAAAUGAAGAGUGAAGACAGCAGUCAACACGUUGUACUUGCAGAAUUUCAGAGGAAGCAUUGCUUCAAAGCAGUUUUCAAGCAAAUCAGUUUGCUUCAAAGCAAAGUGGGAACUGGACUACAGAGGAGAUGCCGAGUGUCACUUUGCUUGCUAAGGAAAAGCAGAGCAAUGAGACAGGCCCAUGAAUGUCUUGAUGAACUAGUGUGCUUUUGUAAAUAUAAAGCAUGGAAGUAAAUAAAUUCGUAAUGUUUGCUAUCAAUCAGAUGUUGUAGGCACAGUGCAGCAAACUGCGUGGCUCUGUUGCCUUGCAGCAGGAGAGCUAUCCUUUGUGUGUCACAGAAAGGUGGCUUUGUGCCACCUCAAACAUAUUUUUUCCCUGAGCUACUUGAUACAUCUACAGACAGGGCUCGGUGUUGUGCAGGUAUGUCGUCGUAGUUUGCAAAAGCAGUAGCGUAGCACUGUUCUCAGGUUAAUUAGCUCUGCCCUUCAGCAAGGAUUAGAAAAGAUUUGAAAGCGUGUAAAGCCAGGGAGGAUUCAAGAAAAGCAAAUAACCCAACUUCUGUGGCAGACUCCAUUGCCUGGGAUUGUAUGCAAGCAGGAUCUGUGUGAGCUGUGCUGAUAGACCUGAAAGUAAGUCAUUUAAUUUUAGGUAAACAUUUGCAAAUUAAUUCUUUGUAUUUGUAGUGUCAUUUGG
rnacentral:lncRNA from 7 species